rnacentral:snRNA from 1 species
AAAGCUCGUUUGAUUCUGAUUUU